CCUACGGGAGGCAGCAGUGGGGAAUUUUGGACAAUGGGCGAAAGCCUGAUCCAGCAAUGCCGCGUGCAGGAAGAAGGCCUUCGGGUUGUAAACUGCUUUUGUACGGAACGAAACGGUCUGCUUUAAUACAGUGGGCUAAUGACGGUACCGUAAGAAUAAGCACCGGCUAACUACGUGCCAGCAGCCGCGGUAAUACGUAGGGUGCGAGCGUUAAUCGGAACUACUGGGCGUAAAGCGUGCGCAGGCGGUUAUAUAAGACAGUUGUGAAAUCCCCGGGCUCAACCUGGGAAUUGCAUCUGUGACUGUAUAGCUAGAGUACGGUAGAGGGGGAUGGAAUUCCGCGUGUAGCAGUGAAAUGCGUAGAUAUGCGGAGGAACACCGAUGGCGAAGGCAAUCCCCUGGACCUGUACUGACGCUCAUGCACGAAAGCGUGGGGAGCAAACAGGAUUAGAUACCCUGGUAGUCCACGCCCUAAACGAUGUCAACUGGUUGUUGGGUGCAUUAGUACUCAGUAACGAAGCUAACGCGUGAAGUUGACCGCCUGGGGAGUACGGCCGCAAGGUUGAAACUUAAAGGAAUUGACGG
rnacentral:rRNA from 1 species